GUAUCUUGUUGGAGAUCACUGUGUACCUGAGGCCUUCUGAAGAAAAGAAAACAUCAUGGAAUUUUAUUUUCUCUCAAGUUUUGCUGUCCCAAAUCCCUAAAACUGGGUGGAGAAAGAUGUAAAAAUGCUGAGGUAGCUGCCUGUCAGCAUAUUUGCUUUAAUAUUUGUGCAUCCCAGGUUCAAUGAAUGAAGAAUUUCUAUUUCUGGCUAUAUAACAAUUGAGUGAGGAAGCCUCUGCUUAUUGAAAAAUAAAGAAACAGGAAAAUGCCAAGUAAUCUUAGAGUGCUGAUAGGGGUGAGUGUGAAGUAUGUAAAUAAAAGAUGCUACUUAAUAACCAGCGACUCCUAUUGUUUGUAGAACACUCAGUCCAAAACUGUUGGAAGCUCUCCUGUGAUUUUAAAGCUGAGUUAUUCUAGCAGGUCAAUGUAGAAGUAGUGAAGUAACAACACGCUUUUAUUUCAUACAUCUGUAUUUGGGAUCGUGCCACUUCUGCAUUCUCCCGUUGCAACUACUAGGAGCUAUUUGUUAAGUGGGUGGAGGAGGAUGUGAGCAGUCUUUGCUCAGGCUAAUAGCUUUGUUGACAUGACUGGGACAGGUUUGCUUAAUUUUAACAGAAAUAUAAUUACUUGAUUGAGAUCAGCAUUUUCUGUUUGACGUGCACAGAGAGCACAGGUCUGAGUGCAGUCAUGUGAGCAUUGCCAGCUGUGUACCACAAAAGAGCAGCGCUGGCUGUGGUGGAGGGAGGGAUUAUGGCAGAUUACCCUUUGCAGCCGCUAGAGACAAUACACUUGUAACCUUCCAGUGAGAGGUUAAGUAGCUGUUCCUAGAAGCAAUCCUCUUUAUGAGAAGAAUGCCAUCAGUCACUGCUAUCAUGUACACAACUAGACGGGGAUGAUGACUUCAAAAUAACCCUUCUAAUAACCCCCUACCUCUUGGUUUGAUGGAAUGAAAUGGAAUACCUCUUUAUUAAAAGCUCUAACAGUUAGGAAUCUCAUUUUUGUCACGUGUACACCUGUUUGGGACAUUCAGAAGAGAGGAGAAUUCUCACAGAAAGCAGCUCCUGCCUUUGAAAAAUUCAAGAGAGAUGAGACCUGUCAUUCUGGCAGAAGGAUCCUUCACCUCUUUUUCAUUUAAUGGGCAUUUUUACUUUUUCUAGUGAUCACUUAAUCAUAGGAGAUUAAACAUAUGCUAUCUGCAGAUGUAGUGCUGUUCCAGGGUUUCAGUGGCAACAGACUGAUUAAAUCCUCUCAAGGAUAAAGGUAUCAUCAGUGCUGUCUUGAGAUGCUGAACUUGACCCUGAAAUAGCAUCCAUUUCUCCUUUGUUGGUUUCUUAGGGUUCUUGGAAGUUGUUACCAAAAUUAACAAAGCCAACCCACUACAAAUCUUCAACAUGCUUAUGACGGGAGUCGAAGACCUUACACUUCUCUGCAGCUUGCAUACAACGAGAACAUUGUUUGGUUAUUUAGGAUGUACUGCUUUGAACCAUCUUCUGGAGUAUAGCAUUGCUGUUUUUUCUUGAAAGGAAUGGACAAACAAAAGAAAACACCUCAACCUCUUACCCCACUAAAAAACGGUACCCCAUACCAAAUGAAAAUGAAACAAAAAUCAUUGGAAAGCAAAAACUUUUCUGCUCCCUCCUCUUUUCUUGGAUUUGAACAUCAACAGGAAUGGAGAGGACUCAGUUGUUUGCUCUUGUCUUCUUGAUACAAUGCAGUAUCUCAUUAUCUGACCUGUCUGGAGAAUAACAUAAACUGUAGAUUACAGUUACAGAUGCUGAAUAAAUAAUGUCUUGUGUAUAACACU
ensembl:lncRNA